GAGUAUCAAUUGCUCUGAGGUUGCCAAAGUUCUCCUAUCUGGUAAGACUGAAAGGAGAAAGGAGGAAGACAGAAUCUUCAAAAUGUUUAAAGGCUUGCUGAAAACAGGUAGGUAAGUCUCCAUGUCAGUCUCUAUUGGAUACGUAUUAAUAUGCUGAAGUUAGAUUUAAGUAAACCUACCAAUUUGAAAGCUUGUAGUAUAGUAAUUUGAAAAGAUAUCAGUUCAGAAGACUUGUAGAGGGAGCUCUUAAAAUUGUUUAGGUUGUCAGGAGUUGUAGGGCUGAAAAUGUUCCUCCCCUGAGGCAGAGGAAUGGACCAAUAGGUCCUUCUAGGCCUAUUUUGGAUAUUUUCCCGUAGUUAUUGCUCAGAUGACCAGUAACCCUGGCUGCACCUGCCAUGCAAAGCUCCAGUGUGUUUCAGUUGCAUUUCCAUUCCCCCAGUCUCCAAGUUAGCUUGGAGUAAUUGUAAUCCUGAAGACACCAAAAAUCUUGAAAUACAAGUGACAGCAAAAUUGGGGUAAGUUCAAUUAAAAGAAAAAUGCAAGAAAUCUUCCCUGGCCAAAAGGACAUGGGGAGUUCACUUGGGUUGUGGUCAGCUGCUGCCUGACCCUCAUGCCCACGAGUGUGCCUCUGUUUGCUCUGAACACUUUGAUUUUGUGCGCUUCAGUGCAGAGGUGGGGAGUCAGGGCUCAGGAGCUGUCUGUCACUGUUUUUUCAGAGCCCAGUGCACGGGAACUAAACCUGCAAUGGCCCCAACCUGAUCCUGAGGAUCAGGCACAAAUCCAGGGUCACAACGGUGCCUCACCACCAGUGUUUGCUUCCUUCUUGAAUCCAUACAGCGAGUCAGCCCUGGCUAGGUGUCAGUUACAACAAGUAAUGCCAGGCUGGAGCAAAUUGGGAUGCAGCACAUUCUUGUAA
rnacentral:lncRNA from 1 species